UACUCUAAAGGUUAGAAUAAUGUCCUUCGC
rnacentral:piRNA from 1 species